rnacentral:rRNA from 1 species
CCAGCAGCCGCGGUAAUUCCAGCUCUAAUAGCGUAUAUUAAAGUUGUUGCAGUUAAAAAGCUCGUAGUCGGAAGUCGGGCUCGGGCAGGCUGUCGGCCUUGGUUGGGCAGCUUGCUUGGGUCUUCUAGCUCGGGGGCCCCGUGCCAUUUAACCGUGGUGCGCGGGAACACGGGCCGUUUACUUUGAAAAAAUUAGAGUGUUCAAAGCAGGCCUACGCUUGAAUACAUUAGCAUGGAAUAAUGGAAUAGGACUUUGGUGCUAUUUCGUUGGUUAAUGGGACCGAAGUAAUGAUUAAAAGGGACAGUUGGGGGCAUUCGUAUUUAAUUGUCAGAGGUGAAAUUCUUGGAUUUAUGAAAGACGAACAUCUGCGAAAGCAUUUGCCAAGGAUGUUUUCA